rnacentral:rRNA from 1 species
AUUGAACGCUGGCGGCAUGCCUUACACAUGCAAGUCGAACGGUAACAGGUCUUCGGAUGCUGACGAGUGGCGAACGGGUGAGUAAUACAUCGGAACGUGCCUAGUAGUGGGGGAUAACUACUCGAAAGAGUGGCUAAUACCGCAUGAGAUCUACGGAUGAAAGCAGGGGAUCGCAAGACCUUGUGCUACUAGAGCGGCCGAUGGCAGAUUAGGUAGGUGGUGGGAUAAAAGCUUACCAAGCCGACGAUCUGUAGCUGGUCUGAGAGGACGAUCAGCCACACUGGGACUGAGACACGGCCCAGACUCCUACGGGAGGCAGCAGUGGGGAAUUUUGGACAAUGGGCGCAAGCCUGAUCCAGCAAUGCCGCGUGCAGGAUGAAGGCCUUCGGGUUGUAAACUGCUUUUGUACGGAACGAAAAGCCCUGGGUUAAUACCCUGGGGUCAUGACGGUACCGUAAGAAUAAGCACCGGCUAACUACGUGCCAGCCGCUGCAGUAA